rnacentral:rRNA from 1 species
UGAGGAAUAUUGGACAAUGGGCGCAAGCCUGAUCCAGCCAUGCCGCGUGCAGGAUGACGGUCCUAUGGAUUGUAAACUGCUUUUGUACAGGAAGAAACAGUUCUACGUGUAGAACCUUGACGGUACUGUAAGAAUAAGGAUCGACUAACUCCGUGCCAGCAGCCGCGGUAAUACGGAGGAUCCAAGCGUUAUCCGGAAUCAUUGGGUUUAAAGGGUCCGUAGGCGGUUAGAUAAGUCAGUGGUGAAAGCCCAUCGCUCAACGGUGGAACGGCCAUUGAUACUGUCUGACUUGAAUUAUUAGGAAGUAACUAGAAUAUGUAGUGUAGCGGUGAAAUGCUUAGAGAUUACAUGGAAUACCAAUUGCGAAGGCAGGUUACUACUAAUGGAUUGACGCUGAUGGACGAAAGCGUGGGUAGCGAACAGGAUUAGAUACCCACGUAGUCCCUGAGCGGGCUGGCAAGGCGCAU